AGGCUUUGAUCCUGGCUCAGGAUGAACGCUGGCGGCGUGCUUAACACAUGCAAGUCGAACGAACCUUCGGGUUAGUGGCGGACGGGUGAGUAACGCGUGAGAAUCUGCCCUCAGGAGGGGGAUAACGGCUGGAAACGGCCGCUAAUACCCCAUAUGCCGAGAGGUGAAACGAAUUUCGCCUGAGGAUGAGCUCGCGUCUGAUUAGCUAGUUGGUGGGGUAAAGGCCUACCAAGGCGACGAUCAGUAGCUGGUCUGAGAGGAUGAUCAGCCACACUGGGACUGAGACACGGCCCAGACUCCUACGGGAGGCAGCAGUGGGGAAUUUUCCGCAAUGGGCGAAAGCCUGACGGAGCAACGCCGCGUGAGGGAUGAAGGCCUCUGGGCUGUAAACCUCUUUUCUCAAGGAAGAAGAUCUGACGGUACUUGAGGAAUAAGCCACGGGUAUAUCCGUGC
rnacentral:rRNA from 1 species